UAAAGUAUCCACUCGACCAGGUCUACCCGAUACAUCGAACUCAAUGGUGAAAUGCGGAUACGAGUGUUAUAUUAGAAAUGAUGAUGUUUCGGUCGGCUGUCCCGAGCCUUGCGUGUGCAUAAGCACAAGAUUCGAAGAAAAUAUUUACAGAGGAGUGGGACAUUGCUGGUAUAUGUUUCGGAGAAAUACAACGCAUUAAACUAGAGAGAUCCCAGAAGCUCAGGCCUCGGCCAAAGCACUGAGAGGAACUUCUGCAGAAUAAGGGUGUCUUCUUGAAAAAUGACAGUCUACACACAAAUAGAAAUAAAUGAAUGAAACUCCGCGCAUUUCGAGGAAGUCAAUGACAACAAGUGCGUGAAGCACUGGGUGUUUUUCAGUGUUGUGGUUAAUCACCCAUGGGGC